AACCGCGAAGCUUUGAGGCCUGUAUUAUAUAUGUUGGCCUAGGUUUGGGGGACCCACUGAUCUCGAUUGUAAAAGGCUGGAUCGCAGAUGGGAGCGCGAGCGUGAGGAAACCGGCCGCCAUCUUACUGUACCCACAACAGUCGCCGCAGCGAUCAUGGCAACUUCUUGCAAUCACGGUCGUACCAAUUGUACUGGCAAGGAUACAGGGCCUAAAUUUAUACAGGUUUCGUCAUGAGGACUACCCAGUGAAUAAUCUGUGCAGUGUGAUGGUGAUACGACUGGGUGUACAGGUUACUUCACAGCUGCCUCGACAUACUCAAGAAAUGGGUGCAGAACCUGCGUAAUGCCCACAAACUUUGACUACCACAGCACCUCCAGAAAGUAAAGGCAUAUGUGUCACGUGGGAUUUUUAAAGGCAUUCACAGUAUGUAAUGCCUUGUAUGAACUGUUGUAGAUCUAAGCAGCCUCUACAGUACACUCUCAGAAAUUACUUGUCAGGGAACUGUGAUAAUUGUUUCAGUUCAUAGGCAUGCACAUAUAUGCUAUAAGAAGAAAUUUAUUUUUUGAGGAUGCAUUUCUCUGGUAGUGAUGUUGUUUACAUCUACUUUUGAUCACAUUAAAUUUAAAAUUAAAUUCAGCAUAUAUGAGAAAAUAUCAGGAGGGGAGUUGCUAUUCAUUGCUCAUUCCAACCUAAAAUUGAGUGCUACAAAUUUAGAGAGUGUACCUGUCCAUUGUCAUCCCUAAAAUAUGUACUGUCAUUGUAGGAAGGUCACGAAUAAACAAAUGUAGUCUUUUGCGGCCUCCCUGCACGUUCAUUGUAUCCU